rnacentral:rRNA from 1 species
GACGUAGGGCGCGAGCGUUGUCCGGAUUUAUUGGGCGUAAAGAGCUCGUAGGCGGCUUGUCGCGUCGACUGUGAAAUCCCGCGGCUCAACCUCGGGUCUGCAGUCGAUACGGGCAAACUUGAGUGUUGCAGGGGAGACUGGAAUUCCUGGUGUAGCGGUGAAAUGCGCAGAUAUCAGGAGGAACACCAGCGGCGAAGGCGGCGCUCUGGGCCGGAACUGACGCUGAGGAGCGAAAGCGUGGGGAGCAAACAGG